rnacentral:rRNA from 2 species
UUAUACGGCGAAACUGCGAAUGGCUCAUUAUAUAAGUUAUCGUUUAUUUGAUAGUGCCUUACUACAUGGAUACCUGUGGUAAUUCUAGAGCUAAUACAUGCUAAAAAUCCCGACUUCGGAAGGGAUGUAUUUAUUAGAUUAAAAACCAAUGCCCUCUGGGCUCUCUGGUGAUUCAUGAUAACUCCUCGAAUCGCACGGCCUUGCGCCGGCGAUGGUUCAUUCAAAUUUCUUCCCUAUCAACUUUCGAUGUUUGGGUAGUGGCCAAACAUGGUGGCAACGGGUAACGGAGGGUUAGGGCUCGACCCCGGAGAAGGAGCCUGAGAAACGGCUACUACAUCCAAGGAAGGCAGCAGGCGCGCAAAUUACCCAAUCCCGAUUCGGGGAGGUAGUGACAAUAAAUACUGAUACAGGGCUCUUUUGGGUCUUGUAAUUGGAAUGAGUACAAUUUAAAUCCCUUAACGAGGAACAAUUGGAGGGCAAGUCUGGUGCCAGCAGCCGCGGUAAUUCCAGCUCCAAUAGCGUAUAUUAAAGUUGUUGUGGUUAAAAAGCUCGUAGUUGAACCUUGGGCCUGGCUGGCCGGUCCGCCUCACCGCGUGCACUGGUCCGGCCGGGUCUUCCCUCUGUGGAACCACAUGCCCUUCACUGGGCGUGGCGGGAAAACAGAACUUUUACUUUGAAAAAAUUAGAGUGCUCCAGGCAGGCCUUUGCUCGAAUACAUUAGCAUGGAAUAAUGAAAUAGGACGUGCGGUUCUAUUUUGUUGGUUUCUAGGACCGCCGUAAUGAUUAAUAGGGACAGUCGGGGGCAUCAGUAUUCAAUAGUCAGAGGUGAAAUUCUUGGAUUUAUUGAAGACUAACUACUGCGAAAGCAUUUGUCAAGGAUGUUUUCAUUAAUCAGGAACGAAAGUUAGGGGAUCGAAGACGAUCAGAUACCGUCGUAGUCUUAACCAUAAACUAUGCCGACUAGGGAUCGGACGACGUUAAUUUUUGACUCGUUCGGCACCUCACGAGAAAUCAAAGUGC